GAUGAACGCUAGCUACAGGCUUAACACAUGCAGGUCGAGGGGCAGCAUGAUUGAAGCUUGCUUCAAUCGAUGGCGACCGGCGCACGGGUGAGUAACACGUAUCCAACCUGCCGAUAACUCGGGGAUAGCCUUUCGAAAGAAAGAUUAAUACCCGAUAGUAUAGUAUUUCCGCAUGGUUUCACUAUUAAAGAACUUCGGUUAUCGAUGGGGAUGCGUUCCAUUAGAUAGUUGGCGGGGUAACGGCCCACCAAGUCAACGAUGGAUAGGGGUUCUGAGAGGAAGGUCCCCCACAUUGGAACUGAGACACGGUCCAAACUCCUACGGGAGGCAGCAGUGAGGAAUAUUGGUCAAUGGACGAGAGUCUGAACCAGCCAAGUAGCGUGAAGGAUGACUGCCCUAUGGGUUGUAAACUUCUUUUAUACGGGAAUAAAGUGGAGUAGGCAUACUCCUUUGUAUGUACCGUAUGAAUAAGGAUCGGCUAACUCCGUG
rnacentral:rRNA from 1 species